AGGAGUGGGCCCAAAGCAGAGCCUUGUGGUGCUCCGCCUAGCCGAUCAGUUUUGAUUAUGUUUGUAUGGACUGUAAAACUUCAAUUUGAAAGGAUUGAUCUUAGAUCUAAAAGGCGUUGAAGCAGUAAUGUGAACCAGUGAGAUGAAACAAUAGAACAGGAAGAGGAGGAAGGUGUGUAAAAGACACCUCCCACAACAUAAAGUGUCCAUUUAAUCAAAAGGAAAGUUAGAAAUGAUCUUUAUUCAACUGCAACAAAAUGAUCAUCGUUUUCAUUUCAAUUUGUUUUAACUCUAUUCUGGUUUCAGGUUCUCUCAGCGACAAAGUCCACCAGAAUCCAGCUGUCAUUGUCAAAAUUCCUGGAGAAAAAGCUCAAAUCCAGUGUUCACACACAAUUACAAACUAUGACACAAUCCUCUGGUACAAACAGUUGAAGAAUGGACAUUUAGAGCUACUGGGAUACAUGUAUAAAAACUUUGAGAAUCCAGAGAAAGGAGUGAAGGUGACCAUGGAUGGAAAUGCAGAUAAAAACCAAACAUGCUUGUUAACAACUGAAGCACUGAGCUUGAAAAGCAGCGCUGUGUACUUCUGUGCUGCCAGUUACCACAGCUCUACAUGUCACUGAUUCUUAGUGCAAAAACCUCAAUUUUUCUUCUUCUAUCACAAACAUUCAGCUGUUUUAUGAACACUCGUUAGGUGGCAGUGUGUCUCCAGUCAGACCUUUACUCUAAACCACUUCUGUGGUGAGUACUACAGCAGAACCAGGAGGAGGAUGGACUACGACACCGCCCAUCUAAUCACGACGUUUGCUGAUUCUGUAGUUGAUUCAGAAACACGGUGGUAAAUGUGCUGCACGUGCAUGAAGGGAGACAACUAAAUAUUAUUCUGUUUUCUAGCUUUCUAACUAAAUAUCAGGAGAUCCCAUGAUGCUCAUCUUCUUCUUCAGCAUUACUUUUACCACCAUGCUGGUUUCAGGUAAUGUCCUCCGAAUAAUUAGAGCAUUUUGAAAAUGUAAAAUCUGCAUUUUUUUAUUAAUAUAAACUGUUCUUGUUUCUGAAUUUCCUCGUUUUAAGAUGAUUUGAAUUCCUUUUCCUGCAGACUCUUCUCCCAACGACCAAGUGCAUCAGUCUCCACUAGAAAUGUUCAACACAUUAAACAGUGAAGCUGAAAUUUAGUGUUUUCACAUCAGUGAUAGCGUUGACACAAUCCUCUGGUACAAACAGUCAAACAUGCAGCUCCUGGGAUACAUGUUAGCAGGCUCUGAAAAUCUAGAGACAGGAGUGAAUGUGAAGAUUAAUGGAGGUGCAAAUAAAGGAGAAAAGUGCACGUUAACAAUCAAAGAACUCAGCCUGAACAGCAGUGGAGUUUACUUCUGUGCUGCUAGUUAACA